rnacentral:rRNA from 1 species
UACGUAGGGUGCAAGCGUUAAUCGGAAUUACUGGGCGUAAAGCGUGCGCAGGCGGUUAUGCAAGACAGAGGUGAAAUCCCCGGGCUCAACCUGGGAACUGCCUUUGUGACUGCAUGGCUAGAGUACGGUAGAGGGGGAUGGAAUUCCGCGUGUAGCAGUGAAAUGCGUAGAUAUCAGGAAGAACACCCGUGGCGAAAGCGGCUCUCUAGAACGGUACUGACGCUGAGACGCGAAAGCGUGGGGAGCGAACAGG